GGCUGUUGGAAGCCAGCGGCUCCUGGGGAAGAGACGUAAAGGGUUUCUAAUAUGCAAAUGAAGCCGGGUAUGAAACCCCCAGGAUAAAAGAAUCCCAUGAAUCUCAUUCAUCAUUUUAUUAACAGAGAUUCCACGUCUUGGCAUCUGUCCCAGGGGAAGAUGAGACAGAGAGGGAGAGAAUGAUGGAGAUGAAGAUUUACCUACUAUAAGUAUUUGAGUCAUGUUUAUAAUAAGCUGGAAAAUUGCUACUUGUUUUUGGCUGCUGUCACCGAGAUGAUAGCUACCCAAGAAUGGAUUAAAUCUGCCAGUUCAGCACAGACCAGUCUGGUCAGCGAUCAGUGAGGAGAGGCCCUUGAGAAGUCCAUGACAAUGACAGAACUGUUGGAAGAACAGUGCUCGUGUGCAAAGAGAAUCUUGCACAGCCUCAGCAUGUGGUAGUGCAUCAAGGUCUCUUGCUCCAGCGUGGUGUCCAUCCCUCAACUCACUUGUACCUACAAAUGCCCAGCAGCACGGAAGCAGAGUGGCCACUGACAAUGUCUAGAAGGAACUCGGUCUCUUUAUCUCUGGAAAUGGUCAUGCAACAAUGGAGGAGAGCCAGACCGGCUGCAACUUUCUUGCUAUCCAGCUAGGAUGAAAGAGGGACGGGCCAGAGAAGGAUUGAGAAAUGUAUGCAGAACCUCUGAAUUAAGCCAACUCUAAAAACCGCCAUUCUGUUGGAAUUUCCAGGUUCUCUCUCUUUCUCUUGGAUCACCCACCUGAAGGGAAGCCAUGUCAUCAGCAACCCCCUGGAGAAGACUGUGUGAGGAACUGAGGCCUCCUGCCAAUACCAAUGUCCGUGACCGUGAAAUCUUGGCUUCUGGUGCAGAUCUGGUCACCGGCUGAGGAGGCAGCACAGCCCGAGGGCAGCAGUCCUGUGCCCGCUCGGAGAGCCACCUUCUGAGUCCACCAGUGGCCUCUUUGAUAACUCUGAAGAUUUUGAUUAGGAAGAAAAUUCUUUCAAAAUUGUCCAGAAUACACAGGAUUCCAGUGAGCAAAUAGACCGCCCAGAGUCUCACCAACCUCGGCCACAGGCCAUGGUCCAGGCGCAGUCUGGGCAGCCAAAACUUGGGAUGAGCCGUCUCUCCGUUUGCUUUACGCCGUGAGCUGUGUUCCUGUUUACUUUCCCCUUCCUGAUACAUUCUGGGGGUGCUUAGCCUGUGUGUGCGCUGACUAUGACCAGCUCUGUCUUCCUGGGCCUCAAGGAGAGAGGUGGGCUCACGCCUUCCCAACAGUGAGCCGACCACUUCUUACUCUUGCAUUAUAAUUGCUUGCCUGAGGUGACCAUCCUACUGUCAUUAGUAUCAGAAAUGCCUUCUUCAAAAAGCUGGCUUGAGAGUUAGACUUGGAUUCUGAGCCCAGAAGGCACACCAUACACAGACGUGUUGGAGCUGUGCCUGGAUGCCCAGGGCCCUGAGUGGUAACAGCUCCCCUAGUUCUCACACCUGCACGUUUAUGGCUGGGCAGUCAGCAGGGUUGGCCAACAGGAGGUGGACAACUUUUCCGCGUUGGUCGGUGAUCCAAGAGUCUAGCAUCAGCACACUUCUACCCUUUGCUUAACCCUGGUCAAUGGCUCUCCACAGCCUGUAGGACAGGGGCAGACUCCCACCUUGCCAUCUGCGCCCCUCUGUGCCCUGGCCUUACUGAGCCCUCUUCUCUAGGCCUCACUUCUCUCCCUCUUGCACCCCUCGGUCCAGCCGCACUGAAUAAUGUACUGUUCCUUGACAGUGAAUUGGAUGCCCCUGGGUUCCACAAAUGGGCUUCCCCUGCUUGGAUGCUCUUCCUGGCGUCUUGUUCUGGUUCACACACCCUCCCCCUUGGGGCUGGCCUCAGCUUUCCCUCCAUCCAAGGAUCCAUCUCUGACCUUGCAGGCUGGAUGGGCCCACUCUCCUUCUGGCUAUCGUGGGACUCAUAGAGAUGGGAGGCUGUAGAAAGUAGCGUUAAGACAUCAGACGGACGGGGGUUCACAUCCCAGCUCUCUCAUCGCUAAUCAUGUCAUCUUGAGCAAGUUAUUAACUUCUCCGGGCCUCAGUUUCACCACGUGUAAACUGAGGAUGUCAGCAGAACUAGCCUUAGAGGAUUGUUUUGAGGAGGAGGUAAGCUGAUGUAUAUACAGUGCUAUAGUAGGUUGAAUUGUGACCCUCCAAAGAUAUGUCCACCUGGAACCUCAGAAUCUGACCUCGUUUGGAAUAAAGAUCUUUGCAGAUGUAACUAAGUUAAGGAUCUCAAGAUGAGAUCAUCUUGGAUUUAGGUCAGGCCUUAAAUCCAAUGGCAGUUUCCUUAUAAGAGAAAGGCAGAGGGAGACGUGAGACACAGAGAGGAGAUGCCGUAUGAAGUUGGAGGUAGAGAUUUGAGUGAUGCAGCCACAAGUCAAGGAACGCCUGGAGCCACCAG